AACGGCGAGUGAAGCGGCAACAGCUCAAAUUUGAAAUCUAGGUCCUAGCGACCUCGAGUUGUAAUUUGUAGAGGAUGUUUCGGGUGAGGUAUCGAUCUAAGUUCCUUGGAACAGGGCGUCAUAGAGGGUGAGAAUCCCGUAUGUGACCGAUAUCCAAUCCCAUGUGAAACUCCUUCGACGAGUCGAGUUGUUUGGGAAUGCAGCUCAAAAUGGGUGGUAAAUUUCAUCUAAAGCUAAAUACUGGCCAGAGACCGAUAGCGCACAAGUAGAGUGAUCGAAAGAUGAAAAGCACUUUGGAAAGAGAGUUAAAAAGUACGUGAAAUUGUUGAAAGGGAAGCGCUUGCAGCCAGACUCGCUCGGGGAUGAUCAACCUUCCUUUUGGAUGGUGCACUCUUCCUCGAUCGGGCCAGCAUCGGUUCGGUCGGCUGGAUAAAGGUUCUAGGAACGUAGCUCCUCUCGGGGAGUGUUAUAGCCUAGUUCGCAAUGCAGCCAGACUGGACCGAGGACCGCGCUUUUUGCUAGGAUGCUGGCGUAAUGGCUGUCAGCGACCCGUCUUGAAACACGGACCAAGGAGUCAACCAACCGUGCGAGUGUUUGGGUGUAAAACCCACACGCGUAAUGAAAGUGAACGGAGGUGAGAACCCCUUUAGGGGCGCAUCAUCGACCGAUCCAGAUGUCUUCGGAUGGAUUUGAGUAAGAGCACAGCUGGUUGGACCCGAAAGAUGGUGAACUAUGCGUGAAUAGGGUGAAGCCAGAGGAAACUCUGGUGGAGGCUCGCAGCGGUUC
rnacentral:rRNA from 1 species